UCGAUAGUAAGGCUUUAUGCCAAACCCGA
rnacentral:sRNA from 1 species